rnacentral:rRNA from 1 species
GACGAACGCUGGCGGCGUGCCUAAUACAUGCAAGUCGAACGAACCGCGACUAGGUGCUUGCACUUGGUCAAGGUGAGUGGCGAACGGGUGAGUAACACGUGGGUAACCUACCUCAUAGUGGGGGAUAACAGUCGGAAACGACUGCUAAUACCGCAUAGGACAUAGGAUCACAUGAUCCAGUGAGGAAAGGUGGCGCAAGCUAUCGCUACGAGAUGGACCCGCGGUGCAUUAGCUAGUUGGUAGGGUAAAGGCCUACCAAGGCGAUGAUGCAUAGCCGACCUGAGAGGGUGAUCGGCCACAUUGGGACUGAGACACGGCCCAGACUCCUACGGGAGGCAGCAGUAGGGAAUCUUCCGCAAUGGACGCAAGUCUGACGGAGCAACGCCGCGUGAGUGAAGAAGGUCUUCGGAUCGUAAAGCUCUGUUGUUAGAGAAGGACAGCGCAUAGAGUAACUGUUAUGCGUGUGACGGUAUCUAACCAGAAAGCCACGGCUAACUACGUG